rnacentral:rRNA from 1 species
GGAGGAAGUAGGGGAUCGCAAGACCUUGCGCUUUUGGAGCGGCCGAUGUCUGAUUAGCUAGUUGGUGAGGUAAAGGCUUACCAAGGCUUCGAUCAGUAGCUGGUCUGAGAGGACGACCAGCCACACUGGGACUGAGACACGGCCCAGACUCCUACGGGAGGCAGCAGUGGGGAAUUUUGGACAAUGGGGGAAACCCUGAUCCAGCCAUGCCGCGUGAGUGAAGAAGGCCUUCGGGUUGUAAAGCUCUUUCAGCCGGAACGAAAAGGUUACGGUUAAUACCCGUGACUAAUGACGGUACCGGAAGAAGAAGCACCGGCUAACUACGUGCCAGCAGCCGCGGUAAUACGUAGGGUGCGAGCGUUAAUCGGAAUUACUGGGCGUAAAGCGUGCGCAGGCGGUUUUGUAAGUCAGAUGUGAAAUCCCCGGGCUCAACCUGGGAACUGCGUUUGAAACUACAAAGCUAG